GAUAAACGCUGGCGGCGUGCAUAACACAUGCAAGUCGAACGAUGAAGCUUAACUGAUUUCUUCGGAAUGAUUUUAAGUGGAUUAGUGGCGGACGGGUGAGUAACGCGUGAGUAACCUGCCUUGCACAAGGGGAUAGCCGUUGGAAACGACGAAUAAUACCCUAUGAUAUAAACUCUUCGCAUGAAGGGCUUAUCAAAGAUUUAUCGGUGUAAGAUGGACUCGCGUCUGAUUAGCUAGUUGGUGGGGUAACAGCCUACCAAGGCAACGAUCAGUAGCCGGCUUGAGAGAGUGUACGGCCGCAUUGGGACUGAGACACGGCCCAGACUCCGACGGGAGGCAGCAGUGGGGAAUUUUGCACAAUGGGGGAAACCCUGAUGCAGCGACGCCGCGUGAUUUAGAAGGCCUUCGGGUUGUAAAAAUCUUUUGUAUGGGAAGAAAAUGACAGUACCAUACGAAUAAGGACCGGCUAAUUACGUG
rnacentral:rRNA from 1 species